GGUUGCAUAGUGUAAUGGUUAGCACAUCAGAUUCUGAGGCGUUUCGAACGCUCAUCAUUCUGGUAAUCUGAGUUCAAUUCUCAGUGCGACCU